rnacentral:rRNA from 1 species
CCUACGGGAGGCAGCAGUGAGGAAUAUUGGUCAAUGGGCGUAAGCCUGAACCAGCCAAGUCGCGUGAGGGAUGAAGGUUCUAUGGAUCGUAAACCUCUUUUAUAAGGGAAUAAUGUGUGGGACGUGUCCUAUUUUGUAUGUACCUUAUGAAUAAGGAUCGGCUAACUCCGUGCCAGCAGCCGCGGUAAUACGGAGGCUCCGAGCGUUAUCCGGUUUUAUUGGGUUAAAGGGUGCGUAGGCGGCCGUUUAAGGCAGCGGUGAAAGGCAGUGGCUCAACCAUUGAAUGGCCGUUGAUACUGGGGGGCUUGAGUAUGUUUGAGGCAGGCGGAAGGCGUGGUGUAGCGGUGAAAUGCUUAGAUAUCACGCAGAACCCCGAUGGCGAAGGCAGUCUGCCAAGCCAUGACUGACGCUGAGGCACGAAAGCGUGGGGAUCAAACAGGAUUAGAUACCCCUGUAGUC